rfam:Mycobacterium noviomagense strain DSM 45145 NODE_27_length_56660_cov_9.5308, whole genome shotgun sequence.
GCGCCCGUAGCUCAACGGAUAGAGCAUCUGACUACGGAUCAGAAGGUUGGGGGUUCGAAUCCCUUCGGGCGCG